UAUUCGAAAGGUCGGUAGGAUUCCAAGUCAGGAAGAGAAACGGAGGGAGAGGGAGGCAAAGCGAAGAACAACGGCAUUGCGUUUGCUGUUUACUGCCAUUUUCUUCUUCUACUCUCUUUCUCCAGAAACGCAUUGACAGUAUUGUGAAGCGUAGAGAAAACAGAGACAAAAAAAGGCUUCGAAGCUGAAGAAACGGCAUGAUUUCAGUGAAAUCGUGUUGGUUUCAAAGCUUCAUGGUAGUACAUUUGGUAAAACGGUGCCCGUGAAGGAUUUCUUGGGCAGGUUUAGACAAUUGAGACCAUUACCUUACGUAAGCUUUCUAGGAGUGGAAAGGAAACGAAGGAAAAUUCGGUGAUCUGUUUGUGAGUUUUAAGGAUAGAUAUGGGGACAAUGAGUGAGGAGGUGGAAGUUCAGGAACAGGGGUUAAGUGGACAAGAAGAGAAAAUUUUUGUUUCGGUUAGAUUAAGGCCUUUGAACGAGAAAGACAGAGCGAGGAACAGUGUAUCUGAUUGGGAAUGCAUUAACAAUGACACCAUUGUUUUCAAGAAUAGCUUGCCCGAACGCUCCAUGUUCCCUGCCGCCUAUACAUUUGACAGGGUAUUUGCUUGUGACAGCCAUACAAGGCAAGUGUACGAGGAAGUAGCUAAACAAAUUGCACUUUCAGUGCUCAGUGGUAUCAAUUCAACCAUAUUUGCAUAUGGGCAAACAAGCAGUGGAAAGACAUAUACAAUGAGUGGAAUCACUGAAUAUGCAGUAGCAGAUAUAUAUGACUACAUAGAGAUGCAUGAAGAGAGAGAAUUUUUGGUGAAAUUCUCUGCCAUGGAGAUAUAUAAUGAAGCUGUCAGAGACCUCCUUAGCUCUGAUAGUACCCCACUCAGACUCCUAGAUGAUCCAGAGAGGGGAACUGUUGUGGAGAAACUUACUGAGGAGACUCUCAGAGACAGGGACCAUCUUCAGGAGCUCCUUUCAAUCUGUGAAGCUCAAAGGCAGAUAGGAGAGACCUCUUUGAAUGAAACUAGCUCCAGAUCACAUCAGAUUUUGCGGCUGACUGUUGAAAGCUCUGCUCGUGAUUAUGCUGGAGCUGAAAAUUCAAGCAUGCUUGCAGCUUCUGUGAAUUUUGUUGAUUUAGCAGGAAGCGAGCGUGCCUCUCAGACCUUAUCUGCUGGUGCAAGAUUGAAAGAGGGCUGCCACAUAAAUAGGAGUUUACUAACCCUUGGAACCGUGAUUCGCAAAUUAAGCAAGGGAAGAAACGCACAUGUACCUUAUAGAGACUCUAAGCUGACACGCAUACUCCAGAAUUCCUUAGGAGGCAAUGCGAGAACAGCCAUCAUUUGCACUAUGAAUCCUGCACGCAGUCAUGUUGAGCAAUCAAGAAACACUCUCUUGUUUGCAAGCUGUGCUAAAGAGGUGACAACAAAUGCACACGUCAAUUUAGUUAUGUCAGACAAAGCAUUGGUAAAGCAAUUACAAAGAGAGUUGGCUAGACUGGAGAAUGAAAUGAAGAGCUUAGGAUCAGCUUCAAACAAACGUGAUACUGCUAUAAUGCUGAGAGAGAAAGAGCUGCUCAUCGGGCAGAUGGCCAAAGAGAUAGCAGAAUUGACUCGGCAACGUGAUCUUGCUCAAUCUCGAGUUGAGAAUUUGCUACUGUCAGUUAGAGAAGUUCAAAUGCUAAAGCAAGGUGAAUAUUCAUCACCAAAAUUAUCAGAACCGGCCAAAGUUCCCUAUAUGGUUGAUUACAACAAGCAUAGGAAUACUAGUGUACCUAGUGUGCCUAGUUCCUACAACCAUUAUCUAGGGCUUCCUGAGAACUCUGAAGAGUAUUUUCUGCUCGAUGGCAGCACUCCGAAGUUUGUUGGGCCUGAUCCAUGCAAAGGUUGGGAGGAGAUCGCUCAUAGAACGAAUGAACAAUUUGAUGAUAGCUGCAAGGAAGUUCGAUGCAUUGAAAUUGAAAACUCGAGCAUUAAGAUGAAUGAAAAGGCAGAAGUUUCCUCUUUGAGUCCUGCCAAUAAUGAAGGAAAAUUAGCCACGGAAGACGCCAUCGUCCAGGAAACUGAAACUGAUGAGUUGUCAAUUGACCCUGAGGAACAGGAAAGAAAAUCGGCCAUGACAGAGACCGUUGUCAAGGAAAUAGAAGCUGAUGAUUCAUCAAUUGCUCCGGAGGAAAAGGUUGGAAAAGUACCCAAGACAGAGGUCAUUCUCAAGAAAACAGGAGAUGGGGAAUUCCUGACUGUUCCUGAGGAUAUUGAAGGAAAAUUAACCAUGAUGGAGUCAAGCAUGGAGAAACUGGAAGCUGAUGGCUUCUCCACUGAUCCUGAGGAAAAUCAAGGAAAAUUAGACAUAGCUAGAGUCAUGAACGAAAAUGUAUUACCAAUCGUACAAAAGGAAAAUUUGCAAUCAACUCCUCUGUAUAGAGAUGAAACUUACAAGGCUUUGAAACAAAAAAUUGAGGAAUUGCAAAGGACCGUUAAAUUUCUUGUCAGAAUUCAUCAUCUAGAGCAGUCGCCUUGUUUCUCGGACGCAUCUAGCUCUAGUACCUCGAGCAUGACCAGAAGCAGAAGCUGCAAGGCGGUUCUCGCGACAGUGCCAUCUUCACCUUGCUUUGAGAAGGCACAACAGAAUGAAAGCACACCCCCUUCCACUGGGUUUGACAAGGACUUCUUUGAAAGACCAAGGGGCCUAGACCAAAAGCUUUCUGGACUGAAAUAUGACAACAGAAGUGAAAAUAUGUCCAGAAAAAAUUCUCAAACUUCUCUUAGCAGUGUUUCUGGGGAUGCACAAAGUCUGAAAGAUUCAGAUGUUGAAGACAAUUGUAGUGUAAUUGAUUUUCUUCCACGACCAGAGAAGUCAUUUAGCAAUGAUUUUGUGAGAAGAAGAACUGCCUCCUCCCCUGAUUCUGUUGCUGGUGGUAUUGAAACGAAACUACAGUCAGAAAAGCAAAUUGGUCACGAUACGGCUCAGGAAACCACAGAUCAGACUGAUAAUUCCAGGGAAAAAAUAGAGGAUGCCAUGCAACUGCACUCUAGUUGGGCCUCAGAAUUUGAGAAGCAGCAGAGAAAGAUAAUUGAACUUUGGGAUGCAUGCAAUGUACCAUUAAUCCACAGAACUUAUUUCAUCCUGCUUUUCAAAGGUGAUCCUUCCGAUUCUGUGUAUAUGGAGGUAGAGCUAAGAAGGUUGUCUUUUAUAAAGAAUUCAAUGUCAUCCGGAACCAAUGCUCGGACAAAUAGUCCUCUUGACACAACAUCUUCAAGUGUGAAGGAUUUGAUUCGUGAGAGAGGAAUGUUGAGCAAGCAAAUACAGAAGAAGUUCUCAAGAAAGCAAAGGGAAGAACUCUUCAAGAAGUGGGGUAUUGGGUUGGACACAAAGCAGAGGAGUUUACAGCUGGCACGCCGUGUAUGGACAGACACCAAUGACAUGGACCAUGUCAAGGAGAGUGCUGCCUUAGUGGCUAAGUUGUUCGGGUUUGUCGAGCCAAGUCGAGCUCCCAAGGAGAUAGUUGGACUCAACAUCCUGCCUCGAUCCAUAACACGAAGAUCCUACACCUGGAAGCACGGCAUUCCUCCCCUGCUGUAAGGCUGUUGAAGUUUUAGAGAAUUAUCUAGGUUGGAUCUAUUUGCAGGGUUGGAAUCUUCUCAUUUUAACCUCCUGAACGUAAAUCCGAAGGAUUGCACAUUGGAGGCAUUGUUCUCUGGAUGAUGAACAUCGGUCAAGCAGGUGGACUCUUCCAGAGUUGCUUCCACUACGGCACGCUGCCCAUCUAGUGAGAGGGUAACACUGUCGAUGGCCAGGCUCAGUAGACUAUAUUCGUAUGUCCAACCAAGCUGAGCAAUCUCAGCUGCACGAUCUGUCCAUGUCUUCAACAUCUGACCAUCUAGAACCUGGUGGUUUUCUCAGUGUUAGGAAAAGCUUUAACAAAAAGUCGCACGGUGCCCUAAUGCAGCAGCAAUGAACAUCUUCAAAAGCAAUCUACUUACUAUGUUUGGCUGACUCAUAACAACCAUACAUAACCAGUUGCCCCCAAAUGAAAAGGGUCUAGUUUGCGGGGCAGUUUUCAAGAUCAUCCUUGAGGAAAUUAAAAAAAAUAAAUAAAAGAAAAGAAUGUAAGUUACAGUAUCAUUACCUCUGGCAAUUUAUCAAGACAGUGAUCAGGUCCAAAUGCCUGCGAUUUAACGUUC